rnacentral:lncRNA from 1 species
AUGCUACGGGGCGGUGUUGAGCUGGAAAAACAUCAUUUUGCACCGACAAUAGGAAUCCAGGCUGUAUUUCCCUGGGGAUGCUCUUCUGGAAGUGAGUGGUUCCAUGGCACGCCGAGGCUCGGGGCAGUGGGACCGUUCUCUCUAAAGCAGAUGAUGGCCACGGAGAGCUCAGACUUUCAGCCUUCGCUUUUUAAUUGCCCAGUUAGCAGAACGGGCAGCCUCCAGCCUCACCCCGUGUCACGUCCUGCCCUGGCCACCCAGCGCUGCUCUCACCUCGACACCACGUGUUUGCUGCCUUCGGGGGCUUUGACCUUCUUUGGUCAAAGAACGUCUUUGACCUUCUGGGGAAAAAGGUGAAGGAAGAGAGAGAAGACUUCAAUUUUUUGUCCUCAACGUCUGAAAAAAAAAAAAGCAUAUUUUUUUCCCAGAAAUUGUGUUUGUUCUUCUGAAUCCCAGUGGUGUUUGAAGAGACAUGGAGAGGAUCGGAUAGUUCAGGUGUGCAAGAAAGAGUUCAGGUGCCCAGCCCUGG